rnacentral:rRNA from 1 species
AUUGAACGCUGGCGGCAUGCUUUACACAUGCAAGUCGAACGGUAACAGGCCUUCGGGUGCUGACGAGUGGCGAACGGGUGAGUAAUGCAUCGGAACGUACCCAGAGGUGGGGGAUAACGCAGCGAAAGCUGUGCUAAUACCGCAUGUGAUCUGAGGAUGAAAGCGGGGGACCGAGCAGCAAUGUUUGGCCUCGCGCCUUUGGAGCGGCCGAUGUCGGAUUAGCUAGUUGAUGGGGUAAAGGCCUACCAAGGCGACGAUCCGUAGCUGGUCUGAGAGGACGACCAGCCACACUGGGACUGAGACACGGCCCAGACUCCUACGGGAGGCAGCAGUGGGGAAUUUUGGACAAUGGGCGCAAGCCUGAUCCAGCAAUGCCGCGUGAGGGAAGAAGGCCUUCGGGUUGUAAACCGCUUUUGGCAGGAACGAAACGGUGUCCGCUAAUACCGGGCGCUAAUGACGGUACCUGCAGAAUAAGCACCGGCUAACUACGUG